GAUGAACGCUGGCGGCGUGCCUAAUACAUGCAAGUCGAGCGAACAGACGAGGAGCUUGCUCCUCGCACGUUAGCCGCGGACGUGAGAGUAACACGUGUAUCCCCUACCUAUCAGUCUGAUAUCACUUCGGGAAACCGGAGAUAAUACCGGAUAAUCUAUUGAUCCGCAUGGUUCAAUAGUGAAAGACGGUUUUGCUGUCACUAAUAGAUGCAUCCGCGCCUCAUUAGCUAGUUGGUAAGGUAACGGCUUACCACGGGAACGAUGCGUGGCCGACCUGCGAGGGUGAUCGGCCACACUGGAGCGGAGACGCGGUCCAGGGUCCUACGGGAGGCAGCAGUAGGGAAUGUUCCGCAAUGGUCGAAAGCCUGACGGAGCAACGCCGCGUGAGUGAUGACGGCCUUCGGAUCGUGAAACUCGGUUAUUAGUGAAGAACAAAUUUGUAAGUAACUAUGCACGUCGUGACGGUAACGAAUCAGAAAGCAACGGCUAACUACGUG
rnacentral:rRNA from 1 species